rnacentral:rRNA from 1 species
GACGAACGCGGCGGCGUGCCUAAUACAUGCAAGUAGAACGCCGAAGAGAGGAGCUUGCUCUUCUUGGAUGAGUUGCGAACGGGUGAGUAACGCGUAGGUAACCUGCCUGGUAGCGGGGGAUAACUAUUGGAAACGAUAGCUAAUACCGCAUGAUAUUAAUUAUCGCAUGAUAAUUAAUUGAAAGAUGCAAUUGCAUCACUACCAGAUGGACCUGCGUUGUAUUAGCUAGUUGGUGAGGUAACGGCUCACCAAGGCGACGAUACAUAGCCGACCUGAGAGGGUGAUCGGCCACACUGGGACUGAGACACGGCCCAGACUCCUACGGGAGGCAGCAGUAGGGGAUCUUCGGCAAUGGGGGGAACCCUGACCGAGCAACGCCGCGUGAGUGAAGAAGGUUUUCGGAUCGUAAAGCUCUGUUGUAAGAGAAGAACGGGUGUGAGAGUGGAAAGUUUCACAACU